AAAAAAUUAUAACACCAAGUUAAAUAAAAUCUGUAAUACAAACUUCUGAUAGUUUUAGGUAUAUAAAGGAACCCAAAAAUUGUGCGGAAAACAAAAGAAAUAAAUUUACCAUUACAUCACCAUAUAAUCGAAAAGCUUAACGUAAAUCUUUUAAAAAUAAAAUUCUUGGAUUAUCUCCUUCGCUCACCAAUAGACGUGGCAAGUAAUGAUUGGCAAUUCCAGAAAUCUGGAAUCAGCCCGAGAUCCAGAAGAUUGGCCAAUAUGAUUUUAGGGCUAUUCAGGGACACUGUGAAGUUCCCCUAUGGCAUCAGAUUUGUCCCAUCUUUAAACUGAACCUUAAACAUAGUCGCCGAAGGAUUCAUCGGCGAAACAAGUUCCGAUUGGCUGAUGUUUGGAGAAUCAUUGGACCUCCUUUUACACAAAAAAUAGACAAUAAACAGAAGAAAGAAAGCGAACAGCAAGACUAGAACUAGCAGCAUGAUCUCACCAUGGACGGCAAAGUUCCGAUCAUCGGAGAAGAGAAGCUCAUCUUUCUGAGGAUUCUCAUUAGGGGGCAGUGAAGCUGAUGGUUGCUCACCUGCAUUAUUAUUAGCCAUAGAAACAAAAAGUGUUAGCUAGCUCUCAGCUGCAACUUCUCAACUGCAGAUUUGGGUUAAUUAAUUGGGUGGUUGUUUACAACUUGUAUCAAUAUGGCUAGCUCACGUGGUGUCAGUUCAUUAGCUAAAAACUGUUUGGGUUCAGUUUAGGUAACAUAGAAGGGAAUUGAAUGAUUCAAUGCUGGAGAAUAAUAUAAGGUGAACGGCUCUUUCUAGGUGAUCUGAGAGAUAAAAGAGUAAGAGAGACAAGACAAGGGUUUUUGCGUGGAUGGUGCCAAGAAAGUGAGGAAGAACAGGUUGUGGCUGCGAUGGUGACCACUCUAGAGGGUAUUCAAGGAAGUAGCCAAUAUUUUCAUAGAAAUGUGGUCCUUUUCUUGAGUGAAUUGUACUACUGUAG
rnacentral:misc_RNA from 1 species